rnacentral:rRNA from 1 species
AGAGUUUGAUCCUGGCUCAGGACGAACGCUGGCGGCGCGCUUAACACAUGCAAGUCGAGCGAGAACCAGGGCUUCGGCCCUGGGGAAAGCGGCGAACGGGUGAGUAACACGUGAGUCAUCCACCCUCGGCACCGGGAUAGCCCGGGGAAACCCGGAUUAAUACCGGAUGGCCCGUCUGCCCUUCGGGGCGGCCGGAAAAGGUAGCUUCGGCCUCCGGCCGAGGACGAGCUCGCGGCGGAUUAGCUUGUUGGUGGGGUAAAGGCCCACCAAGGCGACGAUCCGUAGCUGGUCUGAGAGGACGAUCAGCCACACUGGGACUGAGACACGGCCCAGACUCCUACGGGAGGCAGCAGUGGGGAAUCUUGCGCAAUGGGCGAAAGCCUGACGCAGCGACGCCGCGUGCGGGAAGAAGGCCUUCGGGUUGUAAACCGCUUUCAGGAGGGACGAAGCCACUCGGGUUAAUAGCCCAGAGGGUGACGGUACCUUCAGAAGAAGCCCGGCUACUACGUGCCAGCAGCCGCGGUA